rnacentral:tRNA from 3 species
GUUCUUGUAGUUGAACUACAACGAUGGUUCUUCAAAUCAUCAGUCUUGGUUAGAAUCCGAGCAAGAAUU